AAAAGUUACCAAGAUAGAAGUGUUAUUUUUCUGGUCGUAACCAAAAACAUCAGACUGGGAAAGACCUACAGGAUACAGAGCAGCAAUAGGACUUCAUGAGAAUAUGAAAAAAGAGAGAGAGAGAAAGAGAGAGAGAGAGAAAGAAAAUGGAGUUUGGGAUCGACAACACUUGAACAAAAGAGCGUAAGAUUAAACAUCUGUCAAUAAACCAGAGAAGUAUGACUCA
rnacentral:lncRNA from 1 species